rnacentral:misc_RNA from 1 species
GAUGAAGAACGUAGCGAAAUGCGAUAAGUAAUGUGAAUUACAGAAUUCAGUGAAUCAUCGAAUCUUUGAACGCACAUUGCGCCCGCGAGUAUUCUCGCGGGCAUGCCUGUCCGAGCGUCAUUUCAACCCUCAGGGCCCGCCUGCUUGCAGGCGCGGCGCUGGUGUUGGGGAUCGGCUACCCUGCCGUCCCCCAAAUACAGUGGCGGUCUCGCUGCAGCCUCCCCUGCGUAGUAGCAACACUCGCAUGCGGAGCGCGGCGCGGCCACGCCGUAAAACCCCCGACUUUCUGAACGUUGACCUCGGAUCAGGUAGGAAUACCCGCUGAACUUAAGCAUAUCAAUAAGCGGAGGA